rnacentral:lncRNA from 1 species
UAGGAUGCAUACAUCACAUUGCAUGCAUAAUCAUCAUAACCAUGCAUAAUCCCUAAACAAAUAUUCAUAUUAUCAUCCUCCAGCAUGGCGAAUUUCUGGUUACUCUCAUUAGUAUUUAAUCCUCUCUUACCUUGAAUACAUUGGAACUCGUCACUAUCUAUGCAUUCAGGUCCGAGAAAAUUAAAUAGGGUCAAUUGUCAUACCCCAAAAUUCAC